GAUGAACGCUAGCUACAGGCUUAACACAUGCAAGUCGAGGGGAAACGAUAUUGGAAGCUUGCUUCCGAUAGGCGUCGACCGGCGCACGGGUGAGUAACGCGUAUCCAACCUGCCCACCACUUGGGGAUAACCUUGCGAAAGUAAGACUAAUACCCAAUGAUAUCUCUAGAAGACAUCUGAAGGAGGUUAAAGAUUCAUCGGUGAUGGAUGGGGAUGCGUCUGAUUAGCUUGUUGGCGGGGUAACGGCCCACCAAGGCGACGAUCAGUAGGGGUUCUGAGAGGAAGGUCCCCCACAUUUGAACUGAGACACGGUCCAAACUCCUACGGGAGGCAGCAGUGAGGAAUAUUGGUCAAUGGGCGAGAGCCUGAACCAGCCAAGCAGCGUGCAGGAUGACGGCCCUAUGGGUUGUAAACUGCUUUUAUAAGGGAAUAAAGUGAGUCUCGUGAGACUUUUUGCAUGUACCUUAUGAAUAAGGACCGGCUAAUUCCGUGCCAGCCGCCGCCGUAA
rnacentral:rRNA from 1 species